GAUUUUGUGCCACCCACCCAUGAGAGACCAUAAAGGCUGUUGUUACCCGGCCUGGGCUAGCAGGCUCCACACCAUGGUGUUUUCCCUCCUGGCCACUCAGCACAGUUCACAAAGUGCAUGUCUUUUCACAAAUAAUCUUUUGAUAGUUUUUAUAUGACACAAUCCUUAUUGUAUUUAUAACACGACUGUAGGGCCAUGAAAUCGAAUUACUGAAGUAAUAUAUUGCCUCUUGUCCGUCGAUGUUUCUACAUCAUGACUUUUUAGCUGUGAAGUUGGUGAAUGGAUUCUUACAACCAUCUCCCAUUUUUACCAGCAGGUUUAACGUUUUUAUUUAAAUGCCGGAGAAUCCCUUCCCUUCGUUAAGAAUGUUGCAGCAUUUGAAAUGAACUGGUUCAAUGUGCAUGCUACACACACAUGUGGAUUAAAUUCUUCUCUUAUGUAAUUAUAAAUAUUCCCCAGCCGUCCAGUUCCUGUUCUCCCCUUGUGUAGCCCGAGCAUCUCAUCAUGUUAACUUGGCACCGUCUCUUAGGACAUAACUGAGGACAGUUAAUGUUUAGCGGGGUAUCUGGAAAAUUCUUAAUUUGCUAACGUGUGUAUCUACUCAUGACGGCAGUGUAAGCAACACAGUUUACCAAUGUAUUCCAACAAUUAAAUAUUUUUAUCCCUCUUUACCU
rnacentral:lncRNA from 1 species